CAGCAGCCGCGGUAAUACGAAGGGUGCAAGCGUUAAUCGGAAUUACUGGGCGUAAAGCGUGCGUAGGCGGUUUGUUAAGUCUGUUGUGAAAUCCCCGGGCUCAACCUGGGAACUGCAUUUGUGACUGGCAAGCUAGAGUGUGGCGGAGGGGGGUGGAAUUCCGCGUGUAGCAGUGAAAUGCGUAGAUAUGCGGAGGAACACCGAUGGCGAAGGCAGCCCCCUGGGCCAACACUGACGCUCAUGCACGAAAGCGUGGGGAGCAAACAGGAUUAGAUACCCCGGUAGUCCCUGUCUCUUAUAA
rnacentral:rRNA from 1 species